UGAGGAGUUAACUCGGGGAGGAGAGGACCGGCCCUGUCUUAAAGGGACCCUGGAGGGAGGCUGAGGAGGGCAGGGGCCCUGGUGGCUUCGCCUUUAAGCCUGGGCCAGCGAGGCGGGGAGGCUGCGGGUCUCUCUCCCAGACUCUGGGAACUGUCGCCCUGGGCUCACUUGGUGUCGGGUAAACAUUCCUCCCGAACUCCACUCCCUUCGCAGCCUGUGCGAUGCCGCCCUCCCGGCCUCCACCCCCAGCCCAGCCCCAGCUAGGCACUCCUCUCACACUCACAGCUCCUCCUCCUCGGAAAAGGACACACACACACACACACACACACACACUGAGAUGUCAUCCACACGCAGGGACUGGGACAGGAGGAGACACGCAGGGGCAUGUUGCCAGCCCACGGGACACACUCAGAAGACAAGCCAGGUCGGUUCUCAGUCCACUGAGCCACACCAGCCAGGACGUGACCUUGGCUUUUUAUCGCUCUCAGGUGAUGGCCUCAGCACCCACCCUGCCACCCAAACCUGGCCCUCAGGGUCUUCUGGGACCGCUCACCUGACACAGCACCAGAAGGACAGCGGUCCUCCCUUAUCUUCGAUUUCACUGUCUGUGUUUCCACAGCCCACGGCCACCCAAAAACAUUAAAUGAAAAAUUCCAGAAAUAAACAAUUGAUAAGU